CUUCGGUAGCUCAGCUGGCAGAGCGGAGGACUGUGGUAAAUUUCCGUGUAGUUAUCCUUAGAUCGCUGGUUCGAUUCUAGCUCGAAAGAAGAGCUGCUGUUUUGAGGCUCUGGGAGUAUUGUUCUAAGGGUUUUAGCCACAAGUUAAGAGUUGUUUGUCCCACCUCAAUCAAGGAACUGAUGUGCUGUGGUGUUUACUUCUACUGGCUGGACUCCUUACAGCACUGGCGAGCCUAUGGUACGUGGACGGCAUCAGGCACACAAGAGCCAAGUCGCCCUGGCAUCCCAGCACCUGUUAACAGCGCAAAUUUGGAAAGGGGAAGUAGCUGCCCUUGUUGAUGGCGUCACGCACGCGACCCAUUAGCUAUGAGUCCUGAGUGUUCCAGGCACUCCCAAGGAGAUAAAUAUAUACUUUUUUGGAGUGGCUACUCUAAGUCUUGAACAUCAAAAAAUGACUACAGCCAAAAAAGCAAAGCUGAAAACAGCUGAAAUCAUUGCAAGAGGCCUGGAUAGAGUUAUGUGGAGUGAUCAAAUGCAAUGGGAAAACGUUAUAUAUUCUAUGUAGUAAAAGUGUUUCUUGAAGGGAAAUUGAGGAAAUAUCAUUCCCAGUAUCUUAGUUUUUGCAACUAUCUUUCUAAAACAAAUUAUAUGCCAGCUUUCAAAUUUCACAGUGCACAGCAAAACAUGAUUAGCCCCUCAUGGAUGGGGAGUUUAUCCAAAUGGCCAUGUUGUCUGGGAGUAAUUCCCUUUUUCAUGGUUUCCCAAACAAGGAUAAAAUUAUUAAAUGUAUCUCUGAGAUGAAUUUAGCAGAAAUAUCGUUAAAGAUCAAGUCCUGGAUGUAGCAAAUGAUGUUGGUCAGCAGCUCAAAACUGACUUACAAAAGGCAGCCUGUUACUCCAUGUGCUUGGGUGAAUGCACAGAUAUAAAUUAUCAUGCAAGGCUAGCAAUAACUGUGUUAUGCUGUUGGUGACACCAUGAGAGAAGAGCUGGUAAAACUCAUGUCUUUGCUGGAAGAACACAAGAGAUGGAUAUCUACAAUGCUGUGCUAGAGGCUUUUUGUCACAAGACAUACGACCAAAAAAAGUGGUUUCAAUUACUAGCGACGGGGCACCUUGCAUGGUGGGGGCAACAUCUGGUUUCAUAUAGUUCUUUGUUAGAGAAGUAAAAUACCCAGGAUUCACUUUUAUUGUAUUAUACAUUAAGAAGCUCUUUAUGCCAGGGAAAGCAGCAAAAAAAAAAAAUUAGAGGAUGUCACAAAAAUAGUGAACUACACCAUGGCUCAUGCUCUUAACUUUUUUCAAGCACUUCUUGAUGAGGAUCAGGCACAGUGUAAUGCUUUACUUAUGUACAAUAAUGUCCAGGAGCUGAGCAGAGAAUAAGUUCUGGAGAGAUUUGUAGCUUGCUUGGAUGAAAUUAGGCUGUUUAUGAAUGAAAAAGGGCAGGAAUAGCCACAACUUAUUGAUACAACCCCAUUUUAAAAAAUAUGUAACAGAUUUUACACUACAAUGUACUGAACAAAAAACUAUAAAGGAUGUUUUGUAAUAUCAAAACAUUUGAGAGAAAAUGCAGGUUUUUGAAAGAAACCUUCAAAGUGGGCAGCUGAAAUAUUUUUCAAAUCUAAAAAUACAGUUAGAAAAUGGCACAAUAUUUGCAGACAAUCCUACAGGUCAUCAGGAAAUCUACAAGGAAUUUUCUAGCAUUGUAGCAGCUGUAAAGGAGAAAUUUAGUAACAGAUUUUUAUAGUUCCAUUAAGAUGGAGACAACGCUGUGUUUUCUCACUUCUCCAAAUAAAGCCAACAUUGAAGAACUUGAUCUUUCCUCCUUACACUGGAUAGAUUUUGGAAAUCUGGAAAUGGAGCUAUUAGAAUUUUAAGAAACUCUAUGACCUGCAUGCAACACUUGAGAAGACAGAGAAUAUAGAGUGAAGGGAUGACAAAGGUCAGCAGAGCUGGUAGCUCUGAAAAUGAAAUCCUGAAAGUGUGGCGUUCUCUGUGAAAUAAUUUUAAGUCAAUGAGCCCUUGGGAUCGCUUUUCUUUGUUUAGAUCAUCUUAUACUUGUGAGCAGCUAUUUUCAGGUUUGAAUUAUAUCAAAUCUGAUACAAGAAACAGAUUAACAGCUGACUGAGUGCUGCAUGUGUUGCCCCCAAACUAACGAGUGUGAGCCAAGGUUUGACAAAUUAUCGGCAUGUAUACAACAGCAAAGAUCACAUUAAUUGGUCAAAAGCACUCCAAAUGCAAACUUUUAGCUUUCAAUAAAAGCCAUUUGUAUCACUGAAA
rnacentral:tRNA from 1 species